UACGUAGGGAGCAAGCGUUGUCCGGAAUCAUUGGGCGUAAAGCGCGCGUAGGCGGCCCCGUAAGUCCGCUGUGAAAGUCAAAGGCUCAACCUUUGAAAGCCGGUGGAUACUGUGGGGCUAGAGUCCGGAAGAGGCGAGUGGAAUUCCUGGUGUAGCGGUGGAAUGCGCAGAUAUCAGGAGGAACACCAAUGGCGAAGGCAGCUCGCUGGGACGGUACUGACGCUGAGACGCGAAAGCGUGGGGAGCAAACAGG
rnacentral:rRNA from 1 species